GCCUUCGUGGUGUAGUAGUGGUCAGCACACUCGACGCGUAACCGAAAGGUCCGUGGUUCGAUUCCCAGUGAAGGCG
rnacentral:tRNA from 1 species